UACGGAGGGUGCGAGCGUUGUCCGGAAUCACUGGGCGUAAAGGGCGCGUAGGCGGCUCCGGCAGUCUGUGGUGAAAGCCCAGGCUCAACUCUGGGUCGGCCACGGAUACUCCGGGGCUGGAGCACACUAGAGGCGGAUGGAAUUCCGGGUGUAGCGGUGGAAUGCGUAGAGAUCCGGAAGAACACCGAUGGCGAAGGCACUUUACUGGGCUAUUACUAACACUCAGAGA
rnacentral:rRNA from 1 species